GACGAACGCUGGCGGCGUGCUUAACACAUGCAAGUCGAGCGGAGAGGCGAACGGGUGAGUAACGCGUGAGUAAAUGCCCCCCUAUCUGGGAUAACAGUUGGAAAAGGCUGCUAAUACCGGAUAGUGGGGGAUGACGCGCGUCCUAUCAGCUUGUUGGUGGGGUAGUGGCCUACCAAGGCGACGACGGGUAGCCGGCCUGAUGGCGGCCGGCCACAUUGUGCGGAGAUAAGGCCCAAACUCCUACGGUAGGCAGCAGUGGGGAAUAUUGCACAAUGGGGGAAACCCUGAUGCAGCAACGCCGCGUUCGGGAUGACGGCCUUCGGGUUGUAAACCGCUUUCAGCCAUGACGCGGUAGGGGCAGAAGAAGCACCGGCUAACUACGUGCCAGCAGCCGCGGUAAUAC
rnacentral:rRNA from 1 species